rnacentral:sRNA from 18 species
GAAACUCCUCACGCCCGUGAGGUGGAACAGGUGUAAUGGGGGACACCUGUUCAUAAAAAAAGCGGCC